GACGAACGCUGGCGGCGUGCUUAACACAUGCAAGUCGAACGGAAAGGCCCUGCUUUUGUGGGGUGCUCGAGUGGCGAACGGGUGAGUAACACGUGAGUAACCUGCCCUUGACUUUGGGAUAACUUCAGGAAACUGGGGCUAAUACCGGAUAGGAGCUCCUGCUGCAUGGUGGGGGUUGGAAAGUUUCGGCGGUUGGGGAUGGACUCGCGGCUUAUCAGCUUGUUGGUGGGGUAGUGGCUUACCAAGGCUUUGACGGGUAGCCGGCCUGAGAGGGUGACCGGCCACAUUGGGACUGAGAUAGGGCCCAGACUCCUACGGGAGGCAGCAGUGGGGAAUAUUGCACAAUGGGCGGAAGCCUGAUGCAGAAACGCCGCGUGCGGGAUGACGGCCUUCGGGUUGUAAACCGCUUUCGCCUGUGACGAAGCGUGAGUGACGGUAAUGGGUAAAGAAGCACCGGCUAACUACGUG
rnacentral:rRNA from 1 species